UUUCAUUUUACAGGAGGGAAUUCCUAUAUCAGAGGGUAGGUAACAUUUUUGGAGAUAUUAUAGUAGAGCUAACCAGCAAAUAUUUGUUAAAGUUGUUUUCUUUUUUGAUUUGUUUUAUUUUAUUUUAUUUUAUUUUAUUUUAUUUUAUUUUUUGAGAUAGUGUGAUAUAGCCUAGGCUAGUCUUGAACUCUGUGUAGCUGGGAUGACUUUGAACCCCUGAUUCUCUAGACCUUCCUAAUACUGUGACCCUCAUGUUGUGGUGACCCCCCCAACCAUAAAUCUAAUUUUGUUGCUGCUGCUUUAUAAUUGUAAUUUUUUGUACUGCUAUGAAUCAUAGCGUAAAUAUUUUUGGAGAUAGGGAUUUGCCAAAAGGGUCACGACCCACAGGUUGAGAACCGCAGCUCCAGACCCCACUUGCCAAGUGCUGGGAUUACAAGCAUGAAAAGCAUGCUCAACUUAGAGCUGAAUAUCAGUCCAUCAGCAUGGUAUAGCCUUAAUGUAUAGCAUCUAUUGCUAGAUUAUUAAUUAAGAUCUCAAAAGAAUACUUAAAAAGUGGUUAGCCCGUGGGACUGACAAGAUAGCUCAGUAGUUAGAGGUGCUUACUAUACAAGUUUGGUGACCUGAAUUUGAUCUUUGGGACUCACACAGCAGAGAGAAGCCACUUCUGAAAGGUCUCUAACCUCCAUAUGCAGACUUGUACUCAACAUAUCCCAUACGUACACAUCCUCCUCAUUAUUUUUAGAGAUGGGAAUCUCACUUGGUUGUUCAGGCUGGUCUCCAAGUCUUAGGUUCAGGUGGUACUGCCAGUAGCUGGGACUAUAGUCAUGCCCCACUGUGCUUGGCUUCAAUAAUUCUCUUAAAUGAAUUCUUUGAGAUUCCCUCCCCCUCUUCUUCUUAUUCUUCUUUCUUCUCCUCCUCUUCCUCCUCCUCUUUCUUCAGUUUUAUGAGACAGAAUCUUACUAUGUGGUCCUGGCUGGCCUGAAAUUUGCUGUGUAGACCAGGCCGGCCUUGAACUCACAGAGAGACCACUCUGCCUUCGGAGUGCUGGGAUUAAAGAUGUACUCCACCACUCCCAGUCUCAUUUUUUUUUUUUUUUUUUUCCUUUAAGAAAGGCUGUGCCAGUAUUUUUAAACCAAAAUUUUGGGUAGAUUGAGUUAUGUUUUUAGGAAGCUUUUGUGUGUGUGUGUGUAUGGUGUGUGUGUGUAUGUGUGUGUGUGUGUGUGAGAGAGAGAGAGAGAGAGAGAGAGAGUGUGUGUGUGUGUGUGUGUGUGUGUGUGUGUGAGAUAGUAAGCCAAGUUGCGUUCGCUUGGAGAACUUCAGAGGUGAAACUUAAGAUACUGAAUAAAUUUGUAUAUAUGCCACUUGGUAGACAAUUCUAAAGUUUUUUUUUUAUAGGCAAAUUGGGAAUUAAUAGGAUUAUUUCUAAUUGUUAAUGGAUUAAGAAAUCACAGACAUCCUAAGAUGCACCUGAGUUCUAGCUCUAGGUCUGCCCCUGACUUCUGGGGGAUCUUAUGCUGCCUGGCUUUCUUUCUUCCACACCCACCUUUAAGGUCACACAAUUGUGAGCUCUACCUUAGCUCCCAAAAUGACAGUAUUAUUAAAUCUUAGAUUCUUACCUCUAAGUUUCUAUAUCUGUCUUUCUCUGUAUAAAAAACUGCAAGUUUUCCUGUGUCAUGGACUUCUUUUGAUAAAGCAAUUAGGUGUGAAGAGACCAAAUCAUUUUGGCUGUGAAGCAGUAGGUAUCCUAGUGGAAGAAAAGAUUCCAUGCUUUUAAGAGUAAGAAAUGGUUUCUACUUAGUGUGUACGUGAGGCACGUAAGCAUCUGGAAGGGAAAGUGAAGAAGUUAGUGUAGGUGAGAGGUGGCUUCAGAAUCGCAUUGGCUCUGAGGAAUGUUUAGGCUUUAAUUUUUAUUUGAGAAAUGUGAGCCUUAUUUAAGGUAAAUAAUUCUCAUUAAGAAAUGAAAUGGGAAAAAAAAUGUUAGCUUUUGGAGAAGUUAAUUACUUUCCUAGAACAUUUUUUAAAUUAUGUUUCUGUUCUUUGAAAAGAAGUUUUUCUUGAUCUGAAAAGUUAAUAAGUUAACAAGAUUGAAAUUUAAGUAUGAUAUAUUUGAAUUAUGAUUUGUUCAUAAUUUUGAGUUUUAUAACUCAGUUCUCAAGUAUAAAAUUCUUGGGUAGAAAAUCCUCAAGUAUGAAUUUCUUUUCUAGCAAUCGCAGAACCUGUUUUUGCUGUGGUCAAAGCUGACUGAUAGACUGUGGUUUAAGUCAUCUUAUUCAAAAAUGUCUUCAACCCUGCUGGUCGAGACAAGAAAUCUUUAUGGGGUAGUUGGAGCUGAAAGCAGGUUAGGCAUCUAUUAAAUGUCACAGAACAGGUUAGACUGUGCUUGAAGAAGUGGCUAUUCUUCCAUGUUUUAAAUGAGCUUAUGUGCUAAGUCUUCAAAAAUGGGACUUGAAGUAUCAAGUGAGGCUGUUUGGCUCUUUUAGAAACCCAAGGUGCAUGCUAUGUUAUAAGGACAACCUUAUCAAACAGUGCUUCACAAAUGCACUAGUUCUGAAAAUUAAUACAAAGUUGGAAAAGUUAAUAUAUACUUUCCUGUUUUCAAAUUUACUAUUUCGUUUACU
rnacentral:lncRNA from 1 species